AACUGAAGAGUUUGAUCAUGGCUCAGAUUGAACGCUGGCGGCAGGCUUAACACAUGCAAGUCGAGCGGGGGAAGGUAGCUUGCUACUGGACCUAGCGGCGGACGGGUGAGUAAUGCUUA
rnacentral:rRNA from 2 species